rnacentral:rRNA from 1 species
AUGCAAGGCCGCAACAUAUUAGAUGGGGUGGUCGUCUUGCACGAAACUGUACAUGAGCUUCACCGAAAAAAGUUGAAUGGUGUCAUUCUUAAAAUAGAUUUUGAAAAAGCCUACGAUAAGGUUAAGUGGCCCUUUCUAUUGCAAACUUUGCGCAUGAAGGGGUUUUCACAAAAAUGGUGUCGUUGGGUAGAGAGCUUUGUCUCUGGAGGCAGUGUGCUAUAA